rnacentral:rRNA from 1 species
CAAAUUUGAAUUUGCGUCUUGCGUCCGAAUGUAAUCUAGAGAAGUGUUUUCCGUGACGGACCGUGCAUAAGUCUCCUGGAAUGGAGUGUCAUAGAGGGUGAGAAUCCCGUAUAUGGCACGGACUCCCGUUGCUCUGUGAUACACUCUCGACGAGUCGAGUUGUUUGGGAAUGCAGCUCUAAAUGGGUGGUAAAUGCCAUCUAAAGCUAAAUAUUGGCGAGAGACCGAUAGCGAACAAGUACCGUGAGGGAAAGAUGAAAAGCACUUUGGAAAGAGAGUGAAACAGUACGUGAAAUUGUUGAAAGGGAAACGCUUGAAGUCAGUCGCGCCGUUCGGGAUUCAGCCUUGCUUCUGCUCGGUUUACUUCCCGUUGGGUGGGUCAACAUCAGUUUCGGUCGGAGGAGAAAGACUUGGGGAAGGUGGCAGCAUUCGUGCUGUGUUAUAGCCCCGUGUUGUAUACUUCGACUGGGACUGAGGACCGCAGCACGCCUCUGGCCGGGGUUCGCCCACGUACGUGCUUAGGAUGUUGGCAUAAUGGCUUUAAGCGACCCGUCUUGAAACACGGACCAAGGAGUCUAACAUGUGCGCGAGUGUUUGGGUGUUAAACUCGGACGCGAAAUGAAAGUGAAAAGUUGGGAACACUUGUGUGUGCACCGACGCCCGGAGCUGACCUUCUGUGACGCAUCUGCGGUAGAGCGUAUAUGUUGGGACCCGAAAGAUGGUGAACUAUGCCUGAAUAGGGUGAAGCCAGAGGAAACUCUGGUGGAGGCUCGUAGCGAUUCUGACGUGCAAAUCGAUCGUCAAAUUUGGG